AGCGAACGCUGGCGGCAGGCCUAACACAUGCAAGUCGAACGAACUCUUCGGAGUUAGUGGCGGACGGGUGAGUAACACGUGGGAACGUGCCUUUUGGUUCGGAAUAACUCAGGGAAACUUGUGCUAAUACCGAAUGUGCCCUUCGGGGGAAAGAUUUAUCGCCAUUAGAGCGGCCCGCGUCUGAUUAGCUAGUUGGUGAGGUAACGGCUCACCAAGGCGACGAUCAGUAGCUGGUCUGAGAGGAUGACCAGCCACACUGGGACUGAGACACGGCCCAGACUCCUACGGGAGGCAGCAGUGGGGAAUCUUGCGCAAUGGGCGAAAGCCUGACGCAGCCAUGCCGCGUGAAUGAUGAAGGUCCUAGGAUUGUAAAAUUCUUUCACCGGGGACGAUAAUGAUGGUACCCGGAGAAGAAGCCCCGGCUAACUUCGUG
rnacentral:rRNA from 1 species